UGCCUGUAGUCCCAGCUACUUGGGAGGCUGAGGUGGGAGGAUCGUUUGAGCACAGGAGGUAGAGGUUGCAGUGAGCUGAGAUUGUGCCACUACACUCCCGCCUGGGUGACAGAGUGAGACUCUGUUUCAAAAAAAAAAAAAAAAAAAAAAGAUGACAACAACAGACAGCUUGUUCUCCAGAGAUGAAAGAACUGUCAGCAGUUUUGUUAAGUUAGUUGUUCCACGUUGCCUGGAAAUUUGUAUUGGCGCCCGGUGCCAAUUAAUGAGCACAUAGCUCAUUAAUUGUGAGGAUGACUAUGAGAUUUCUAUAGUCCUCUGCUAGUAGAGGGUGAGUCUUGAUUUGAUCAACCUCAGGCAAGGCUGUGAAGGAAGGAAGAAAGACUUCUCCUCUAGUAUACUGCCCGAUUACCUUCUUGGAUCUGUCCUGAGGACCAAGGGGCCCCUGUGUUUUCAACUGAUGGCUGAUGAACAGACUUUAAAUUAGCUGUGGAGCAGAAUUCUUCCUUCUGAUUGGAUUCAUCCACUGUCUCACCAUUCAGAGGAAGUUAAAGUCUUUCUCCUAGGCUUGAGGUCCCUCCAAUAACAGGUUUAUCUGUCUGGUUCUAUUGCCUAUUAUUUAUUGAGAAGGACAACAAUCAUUGGAAAAAUGGGCAACUCUAAUGUACUCUGGAGUGGGUCUGAACCAGGGAGUGGGGAGACAGGCAAUAUUUAAAGGCUAUGCAGAGCAUAAGGGCUGUUAAAACAGCACUGAUGGAUAAGACCCACGUGGGAGAAAUAAUUUUACUACUGCUUACAUGACCUAUGGGUAAUAAAAAGUAUUAAAAGGAACAGAUUUCUAAGAACAGGCAGCAGCUUAAUUCAUCUCAUAUAUAAGUAUGUAAAGGUAAUAGUGUAACAGUGAAAUAGCAAAAGAGCAUAACUCCAUUUUUUAGGCAACCUUUCCCCAUUCCUUCAAAUAGGCAAGGAUAAUUUUAGAGCACAAAUAUGCCAAAAUGGCAAUUGUGUAGGUUUAAAAACUCUGGGAUUUAAAAAGUGUGUAAACAACUAUGUUUUGUUAAACAUUUAUAGAAGCAUUGUGGCCUGACCAAUGACAAAGACGCACCCAACCUCCUCUGGCCCUCAUUGGUACCCAGAUGACUGUGUUUCACCUCUUGAUACCAAAACCCUCCUCUUCUCCACAGCCCUCUCCCAUAAAAAUCCUCCAGCCAGCCUGCAAAUUUUCAGAUGCUACUUUAGAAUGCUAGGUCACUAUCUAGCUGGCUUUCCAAAUAAAUCUACUUUUCCUCCCAGCAACUCUAGUCUUUCAAGCGGCGUGCAGCCAAACCUGGGUUCGGUUACAAUAGUAUAUGAAAACAUCAACUGCUCAAAGCUGCCAGGCUAACUAACUCUUAUUCUCAGGUUUCUUUUAUCUCUAUUUUAUUUUCUCAGCUUCAUUCAGUUAUAAUUGACUAAAACUGAAUAUACUUAAGGUGUAUGUUAUUAUUUGAUAUACUAUCGUUAGCUUUAGAUUCAGUUAUUCAUGACAUAACACGGGUUUUCCAGGUUCCUGACCCUGUGUUUAGAGGGUUAUUUCAUGGUAGUUAACUACUUUGGGUAUCCUGGAAUUUACACCUGUAGUUCAUGUUAAGUGGGUCAGGGGAAAAAUACACACACAGAGAAAAUGUGGUAGAAUAUUAACAAUUGUUGAGUCUAGGUGUUGGAUAUACAGGUAUUCAAUGUACUAUGUUUUUAAUUUAUCUGCAUGUUUGAAAUUUCCAUCAUAACAAGGUAGAAAAAGAUUUACUAAUUAUUCACCUGAGGAAGCUUUUAAAACUUUUAAUUGUUGAGGCUCAAAUCUCAGAGAUUCUGAUUCAGUCACUAGGAGGAAAGGCUAGGUACAGAUU